GGGUGCCAGGAGCAGGAGUGAAAGGUCAGACACAGGGCCAGGAAUAAUUGCCUGACACAGGGACAGUCCGCAGGGAAUACCAGGAGCCCCCUGGGCAAGAGAGCUGUUGGAAUCCAAUCAGCAGUCAGGAAGAUGGAGCUCUUUGGGCAGCUGGGAGGCCCCAGGCUGGAAUGCAGGAACCUGGGUUCAUGUCCCUGGCUUGGCCACAAACAGCCUUACGACAGCCUGCAGACUCCAGUAUACCCAAUGUGUGCCAGCCACGGCGGGUCUGACUUGGCUUCUGGGAUCUGGGCUUUUCCAUCAGCCGACCCCAUGCUGUGACUUGGAAGCCCCACGACCUCCUGCCAGCUUCAUGCCUCACUGCACCUGCCUCUGCUGCAUGGGACACCUAUGACCAUGCCCCUCGGCUUCCUUGACCCAACCAUCAUCACCCGUCCUCGGCCUCCCAUUAAAUGAUGGUGGU